rnacentral:rRNA from 1 species
GACGAACGCUGGCGGCGUGCUUAACACAUGCAAGUCGAACGCUGAAGCUUGGUGCUUGCACUGGGUGGAUGAGUGGCGAACGGGUGAGUAAUACGUGAGUAACCUGCCCUUGACUCUGGGAUAAGCCUGGGAAACUGGGUCUAAUACUGGAUACGACAUGUCACCGCAUGGUGGUGUGUGGAGAGGGUUUUACUGGUUUUGGAUGGGCUCACGGCCUAUCAGCUUGUUGGUGGGGUAAUGGCUCACCAAGGCGACGACGGGUAGCCGGCCUGAGAGGGUGACCGGCCACACUGGGACUGAGACACGGCCCAGACUCCUACGGGAGGCAGCAGUGGGGAAUAUUGCACAAUGGGCGAAAGCCUGAUGCAGCGACGCCGCGUGAGGGAUGACGGCCUUCGGGUUGUAAACCUCUUUCAGCACGGAAGAAGCGAAAGUGACGGUACGUGCAGAAGAAGCGCCGGCUAACUACGUG